UGAUUCGGAUGAGUGAACAAUAAUAUCGUUCUUUAUCUUUCUGUUGAAACCUCGAAAAAGUACAUAGGCUAUUACAAGUUCAUAACUGGUGAUUCCUUGCAUCAUUCCUUUUUUUUUGGAAAAUGUCUUGAACCAUUUGCAUUACAAGCAAAGAAAAAAUACAGGACUCGACAGGGUGAUAACUGAAGGUGCUGUUGGAAGUAGUCCCUUUUGAGUGAGCUGCUCUCUGUCCGAGUAUAUAAAUUAUCGCCUUGAAUCUUUCUGGAAGAAAUGAAAUAUGAUUUACCAUUUACAAGCAAACCAAAGCACCGGCACUGGCAAGUUGCCAGGUAUACAUCAGGUGAAUUAAGAUAAUCGUUACUGCAGGGAACAAACUAAAAUUACUGUUGGAAGUGCUCAUUUGGCCUCCACAAGCUCUGCCAGACACAGAUUCAGAACAACUGAUUGGGGCAUCCCGGAGAGAACGAAUCAGUGCGGGAAGUAGAAGGCCACCACAACCACACGAUGAAUCCAACGGCUGCUCCGAUGUUCGACUGAUCGUUGAGCCUCUGCAGCCUGAUUCGUACCGGUCUAACGGUGAAGGCCGGCGAAGCGGAGCACUCAUCUAAAGGUGCAUCAGAAAGCCCUUGGUUACCAGCAAAGUUUGAAGCCGAAAACUUCUGCAGUGAAGUAGGAACAGGCCCUGAUAACAAGUUGUCCGCAACAUUGAACGUAUUUAACCGAGUAAGCAAACUGAAAUGCGGUGGAAUUUGACCGCUGAGUUUGUUAUGCUGGAGGUUGAGGACUACCAGAUAUCUUAUAUUUGAGAUAUUUUCUGGGAUCGAGCCCGAAAAACUAUUGUACGAAAGAUCCAGAGCUGUCAGAUACGGCACCUACUGUAAAAUGUCGGAAGGGAUCGGUCCUGAAAAAUUGUUAUUCGACAGGUCCAGGCCGGUCAUGCUUGAACAAUUUUGUAGACCCUGAGGGAAUGUGCCUUCCAGUCCUAGUUUGCCGAGUCGGAGAGAGAGAACCCUGUCCUCGUCCGGGUUCCAGCAUUCCACACCAGUAAAGCGGCAUAUGAAACCGCUGGUGGCAUUUUCAAAGUUCCAAGAGGAUUUGAGUACACCGUUGGGAUCAAUUACUGAUUGAUAUACAGACUUCAAGCACUGGAUAUCUUGUCCAGAACCAAAACACAACGUUGAGCUGUUCAAGAGGAGGAACAAAAGGAGGAACUUGGUACCAUCAGCCAUCGCAAGCAUGGAGUGAAACAAACAGCAGCUCUGCUCGGCCAAAACCUGCAGCUUGUCAAUUCCGACGUCACCUGAUCAAAACUUGAGUAAGAACACUUGAACACGCUACUUGAAAAAAUAAGAUAUGGUGGCACCACAAAGUAGACUCCAAGACCAAGAGAGCAAAUAACGAAGUUCGAAAACACUUGUUUUGUUAAUUACUCUCUCUGCAAAUUAAUAUAAGAUCUUUUAGAUCACUACUUUAGUGAUCUAAAAGAUCUUAUAUUAGUUUAUAAGAGGGAGUACAUGUGAUAUUUCCUAGACAAUGAGGUGCUUCAGAAUACUCACCGGUUGAUCCAGGCAAAUCAGAAGCCACCAUCUGCAGUAGAUGAACGAUGCAGCCCUUUUAAAACAAAGAAUCCACGCGAGCAUAGACUUUUCUUCUGCCAAACCCUGAAGUCUUAUUGACUUGGAAGGAUUUGCCACAAGUAUACAUGGAAGAAAGACAAACCGUGUGCCUACUGCCAAUAGUCCCAUCCUGACAAGUCUCUGAAGACUCCAUCACUCACCGGUCACUCACUGCCAUGUGGAAGAAGGCACAUGGCAGAAAGACCGACCCAGCAUCGUCGAGAGUCUCCAGUCUCGGUAGAAUUGUCACCGAGGAAUGUGUGGAGGGAGUUUACAUCAUCGCCUGGCAGAAUAUAAUUUUGAACCCGCCUGCGAGAACUCUGACCUCACGGUCUUGCCAGGUGCAUUUGCAAUUUCUUUUACUCCAAAAUAUUAUGGAUUUUCAGAAAACAUGAAUCGAUACGAUUAUUGUAACACCACCUAAAUUGUGAUGCAGAAAUACAGCCAUGUGUCUCCCGUGCAUACAGAGCAAACUGGUACAGUUUAGAAAGUAUACUACAUAUUUGUUAUUCAAGUUGCACCAAUUUGUUUUGUUAUUACAUGACUCGUAUCCACUAAAAAAAAUACAUGAUACAUAUGAUCAUAUUUCUUUAUGAAAUUUUGAAGUAUGUGUGCCAUAGCAGAACAGUUAUCAUGCAUCUUCAAAAAGAGUAUACACUGGACAAAAAAAUCGAAUAGAGUGUGAACAUACCAUGGUUGAAGGAGGACAAAGCUGCUGAACUGACAUAUCUGCUCUCUUGCUUGGCAGAUAACACAUGACAUGUAUAUUUUCUCAAUAUAGCUGAUCAAAUUUGAUAUGCUAUGCUGCUGUGAUGGGAUUUUAUUUCCCCCAAGAAAAUGAUUCGGAUGAGUGAACUAUAAUAUUGUUCUUUGUCUUUCUUCCGAAACAUCGAAAAGAGUACAUAAACCAUUACAAGUUCAUAACUGGUGAUUCCUUGCAUCAUUCUUUUCUUUGGGAGAAUGUAUUAGACCAUUUGCAUUACAAGCAAAGAAAAAAUAAAGGACUCGACAGGGUGAUAACUGAAGGUGCUGUUGGAAGUAGUCCCUUUUGAGUGAGCUGCUCUCUGUCCGAGUAUAUAGAUUAUCGCCUUGAAUCUUUCUGGAAGAAAUGAAAUAUGAUUUACCAUUUACAAGCAAACCAAAGCACCGCUGGCAAGUUGCCAGGUAUACAUCAGGUGAAUUAAGAUAAUCGUUACUGCAGCGAACAAACUAAAACUACUGUUGGAAGUGCUCAUUUGGCCUCCACGACGUAUGCCAGACACAGAUUCAGAACAAGUAAAUCAUACGCGAACCACGUAAGCC
rnacentral:lncRNA from 1 species